AGUUCGAGACCAGCCUGGGCUACACAGUGAGUUCCAGGGCUGUUCUCCACUUGAGGACAGUGGCUCCUGUCAUGGGACUGCAGAUCUGAUGGCUCAGCACAGUGCCCCCUGCAAUUCACAUCUUCCAGGCUCCCUGUCCGUGGUGCCCUGCUGGCCUUUGGGCCUGACCCAGCCGCCUGGCCGAUCCCUGUCCCCCGAUGUGCCUCCUGGGGGAGCAGAGGGGCUCCCUAGGUCCACCCCGGGGCCUUUACCUGUUCAGGGGAAAUGAAGACAACCCCUGGCUCCUCGUGUUGCCAUGUCCGCGUCCCUGUGAAUGCGGCAGCACCUCCACACGGCUCCAUUUUGCUUGACCCCUGGUAUCCACCCAGGCCGAGCACUCUGCGGAUCUGGAGAAGAGCGUGCAGUUCAGCAGUAUGAAGUCUUUUCAGUGUGCUGGGAGACCAUCACCACCAUCCAUUUUGAAAUUCUUCAUCUUCCCAAACUCAGACUGUGUCCCCAUCAAAUGGGAACUCCCCUCUCCCUCUCACCCCUGGCAGCUGUCACCCAACUUCUGUCUUUAUGCCUUUGACUACCGU